CUCAUAGUAACACCAAGCAGAUUUACUCCUCCUCUCAGGCCUUCUUUUUUCGGCAACUUGGUGGAGUCGCCACUAGGAUGAUUCACACGGUAGAGGUUAUCUCCCGAAGUAAAGAUCCAGCCAUCCUCUCGAGCAAUAGCCCCGCCUUGUCUGUCGCUAUUUACUCCGCCCCCAAUAUGCCAGAUCGGCGUUGGAGUAGCAUCCAAGUCAAUGUACCUCAACCCGACCCUACCGACUUUAUUUGUGUCCCCAAUGGUACUGCCAAUGAGGUACAAGCGGCGGUUCAGGGCAACAAGCCUGCUGAAGUCAAUCCAGUCCAACCCUUCGCCCCCAAAACUCGGUAGAUUGAGUUGUCGGACUCUGUCUCUUUCGCUCGCACGCAGCACUACAAUGUUCCUCCCUUCGUUGUUGUUAUCAUUUUCUGCCGUCGCUGCCGUGGAUUUCCUUUCAAUAACGUACCAAAAAAUCGUUUCAUCUGCCCUAACCAUCAGGUAUAUUGGGCUUUCAGUUUCGGUUGGCAUCACCAUUGUUCUCGCUAAAAAAACUACCAAGAAAAAGAAAUUAGUCUUCUUGAAUUACAAGAAUAUAACAGAGAAAUGCAGGAAAUUCAUUUGCUUGCUUGCUUCAUG
rnacentral:lncRNA from 1 species